CUUCCCCUUGCGCGGCUGCGGGGCGCCGCGGACCCGUCGGCCGGGCAGUCGCUGGCAGUACAGCCCCUUCUCCGGCAGCACAGCAGCGGCGGAGCUGCGGAAGGCAGGAGCCGGCCACGGGUUUCCCCAGCACCGGGCAGCCUUCCCCCGCACCUGGGGCAGCCUGGGCGCAGGAAUACUCCUCUGAUGAGAGACAGCCCUCAGGCGACACCAAGCCAUCUUAGCUUGGGCUUCGAACAGCGGUCCUAUGAAGGAUUCUCACCUACGUCUCAGUAACAGCGCAAGGAAAGCCCUAGGUGCAGUAAUGGCUGUGCUAAUCACUCAAGUUCACAUUGAGCAGGGCUGUGCUCCUGUCUGAGACGCGGCAGCCCUCGCUUCAGAGACCAAAGUACAUCCUAAAUUUCCUGAGGAGAUGACCUUGCACCAGCCGGAGUGGCAGCACCUGGGAGGCUGGGGACAGCCUGGUGUCACCCUGCCCUGCUCAACAGCUCCUGCAGCACACUGGCACCCACACCUGCUCUGUGGAGGAAGCUGGCACCCCACAGCCCAUCCGGGUCCCUCCCUUGGGCUGCUCUUCUCCCGGAUAUCCUUUCACCCCUCUGAAGGCAGUGGGUUGGGAACAGGGUAUUUAGUUUGGGGCAAUACCCAUCUAACUCUUUGGGUGCCUAAGUAGUAAUUUUUUCUAAAAUACCCUAGCCCCCAGGCGCUAUUUUUUGCUAAUUUUAAUGUAUACUCCUGUAAUAGUAAUUUCACAGACUCUGCCUGUGAUGUACUCCAUGAAGUAAUAAAAUCAUGCACUUGAGACUGCUCUUAAAUCCUACCACAGGCACACAAAGCACACAUCCUUCUUGGUCAUCAAAAGAUGACCAAUCAUCAAUUAUCAUGAC